CGAAGGAUCCAAGCGUUAUCCGGAAUCAUUGGGUUUAAAGGGUCCGUAGGCGGUUUAAUAAGUCAGUGGCGAAAGCCCAUCGCUCAACGGUGGAACGGCCAUUGAUACUGUUAAACUUGAAUUAUUAGGAGGUAACUAGAAUAUGUAGUGUAGCGGUGAAAUGCUUAGAGAUUACAUGGAAUACCAAUUGCGAAGGCAGGUUACUACUAAUGGAUUGACGCUGAUGGACGAAAGCGUGGGUAGCGAACAGGAUUAGAUACCCUGGUAGUCCACGCCGUAAACGAUGGAUACUAGCUGUUGGGAGCAAUCUCAGUGGCUAAGCGAAAGUGAUAAGUAUCCCACCUGGGGAGUACGUUCGCAAGAAUG
rnacentral:rRNA from 1 species